UACGAAGGGGGCUAGCGUUGCCCGGAAUCACUGGGCGUAAAGGGUGCGUAGGCGGGUCUUUAAGUCAGGGGGGAAAUCCUGGAGCUCAACUCCAGAACUGCCUUUGAUACUGAAGAUCUUGAGUUCGGGAGAGGUGAGUGGAACUGCGAGUGUAGGGGUGAAAUUCGUAGAUAUUCGCAAGAACACCAGUGGCGAAGGCGGCUCACUGGCCCGAUACUGACGCUGAGGCACGAAAGCGUGGGGAGCGAACAGG
rnacentral:rRNA from 1 species